UGGUUAUGCAAGAGAGUUUACACUACCGACCGUUCCUAAAGCAAGUGGCAAAAAGUUUGGUGGUUGGUACUUGAGACCUAAGUUCGAAUCUUAGCUGAUUCACAUUUCCAGCUAAGUUUUUUUCUAAAUAAAAUAAACGAAGCGGGUAGCGCGCUACCUAUCUCUCAAAAAAAAGAAAAAAGAAAAAAAGACUAUGAUCAACUGUUCCCAACAUAAAUGGUAAAAAAAGUAAUGAUUAAUAUCCGAAGUCUCAAGUUCGAAGUUUAAUUGUUUUAUAUUUACAGUUUUAAUUUUUAUUUCUGAAAAGAAUGAACGAAACGAGUAAUACACUACGUUCUUUUCUC
rnacentral:lncRNA from 1 species